UUUAGUUUUUCAUCGUUUCAGAGUCUGGAAGUCCAAGAUCAAGGGACCAGAGGGGUCAGUGAGGCCUUCUCUCACCUGAACUGGGAUCAGAUUAGCAGCAACAACAAUGAAUGAGUGAUGGAGACGGCAUCCGGCACCCACAGUACACACAGAAUGGUUAUGUUUAUCUUCCAUCUCCUGUGCCAGCUUACUGACAUGGGGCACUGCAGUUCCCAGAGCAAGCCUGGACUUGUCCCCUGAUGAGCACAUGGGACAAUCAUCCAAGUAGAAUGAAACCAGCUGGGAGAAGCCACCACACAUCCCCUUCAGAAACAGCAACUCUCCCACGCCUGACUGACUUCCUGGUGCCUGGAACUCCUCUGAGUGGAGCAACUCUAUUGACUGAGAUUAUCUCCAUAAAGUCCAGGUGAAGGUGAAAAUAACAAUCUCACCAUUUACUGAUUGUCAAUUUCCUGUCCAAUAAGAAAAGAAUAAGACUUCAGGGAGGCAGGGCAGGCAACAGGCACGUCUGAGUCCAUUUCUCAGCUGAAAUCUACAAGAAACUGAGGACCUCAAUCCCCCAACCCUGGAGCAAUGCAGUCCUGCCGGUAUGCUUGUAGGGGUGCUCAGAAGCAGACCCUUCCCCACCUGAGCCUUCAGAUGAGUCCUCAUCCCUGGCCAGUACCUGAGUGUGGACUUGUGAGUGAGCCAAGCCAGCCAUGCCACACAAAGAUUCCUGACCCACAAAAACUGUGAGAUGAUAAAUGUGCAUUGAUUCAAGCUGCUAAGUUUGGGGGCAACUUGUUACACAGCAGGAGAUAACUACUACACCACCACCAUGAUCUGUUUUUUGGCCUUUGAACGUAUCUCAUUUAUUCUUUUUUUAAAUUCUGUUUUCCUCUCCAAGAUUGCCACCCAGUGUCUGUCCAAUUCCUCACCCACAAGUCAGUUUCCACUUUCCCUCUGAGCCCUUCUGAUUUUUUCCACUCAUGAUGGUUUUUCUCUUCCACAAGACACAGAAUUUAUUGUCUCAGCUGUGCCAUUCCAAGAUCAGGGUUUCUUUAAGCAUUCCCCCGGCCUUGGAAUAGCACAGCUCAAAACAAGGUACAAAUGGGAUUUACUUUUUUUUUUCUGUGCUCUUUAUGACUGUAUUACAUCCCCUUUCACUCUUUUUUUCUUUCAUUUUUGAAAAUAUAAUAAUGUUAUCAACUAAAGUCACCAUGUUGUAAAAUAAUAUCUUGAAUUUAUUUCUCUUAUCCAACUGAAAUUUUGUAUCCUUUGAUCAACGUUUCCCCAACCUCCAACUCCCCCAUUGCCCAGCCCUUAGUAACCACUAUUCUUCUCUCUGCUUCAGUGAGUUCAGCUUUUGAAAAUUUUCCACAGAUGAGUGAGGUCAUGUGGUAUUUGUCUUUCUGUGCCUGGCUUAUUUCAGUUAAUAUAAUGUCUUCCAGGUUCAUCCAUGUUGUUGCAAACGACAGGAUUUUCCUCUUUUUUAAAGCUGAAUAGUAUUCUGUUGUGCAUAUGUACCCCAUUGUCUUUAUUUGUUGAUGCCUUGUUGGACACUUAGGUUGAGUCCAUAUCUUGGCUAUUGUGGAGAAUGCUGUAGUAAACAUGAGACUGCAGAGAUGUCUUUUAAUAUACUGAUUUCAAAGCCUUUAGAUAUAAACCAAGAAGUGGAAUGAAUUGAUCCAGGUGGGACUGAAUACCAGACAGACAAGUCAUCAACACUAGUAGGAUUUGCAUUUCUUUAGAAGCAAAGCUGGAGAAGAUUGGAGGUUAGGCACUGGAUCAGCACUGGUUGUCCAAAUAAAGUAAGCAUGAGAGUCGGGUGAAAGGAAGGAGUAGCCACUGGGAAGGGUCCAUGAGAGGGAAGCAAGUGUGAGUGAGUGCUAUAGACUGCUGGGGGUGGGGUGGGGGUGGUGCUGACACCUGUGAUAUGUGUGUGUGUGUGUGUGUGUGUGUGUAUGUGUAACUUUCCCUCUAAAUCUCUAAGUUACCCAACGGCUCCCCAAGAACCUGGUAACCUAGUGGAAUGCAAUGCUUUGAAAUCCACUCAGUAAAUAUUCAUUGAACCAGUGUAUGAAACUAGAAUCCCUGUUCAUCCCUUUCUUUCUUUCUUUGCAAUCUUUAAAAGCAAAAAGACAUAUAUUAUUAACAGUUCAUUUAUAGAGUCAAUUCUAUUUCUAAAGAGAUAGAGCAUAUUUUAAAUGUGUUACUUUUUUAAUGUUUAUUUCUAUGGCUAUUUAGGCUUAGUUUAUAUUCAAUUUAACAGGGAAAAACAUAACGAAUUCAAUAGCAAUGCAAAGGUAAUAUAAAUAGUCUAAUAACAAGAUAUGAUUUUCAUUUGGCCCAUAUUAAAACUGGAUUUAGAGGAACCAUGCAAAUUCACACUUAAUAACAAAUAUAUUUAUAUGCGUCUAUUAAUUUCCCAUUCGGAAACACAAAAGCUUUCUAGAUAAGGUAUUUUACUGUCUGAUAUAAGGCAUAGUUCUAAUUAUAUAAAGGUUUAGGAAAAUCAGGCCUAGUCAAGUUAUAUCUACAUAUUCAUAUGACUUAACUAAAUUAAUUGAGUAUAAUAGACUAGAAUUGUGUAAAAAUUAAUAUUUGGAGUUUUUAUGUUGUUGCUGUAAUUUUAAAAAUGCCAGGCAACUGGUUUGACUAAAAGUUCUCACUGCUUUGGUUAUAGCCAAACUAUAGGGGGGAAAUGUUUAUUUUAACUGUUAGUUGUUACAGGCUAAUGGUUCAUCAUGUCCUUAAUAGAAAUCAGACCCAGAUGUUUUAGAUAAAAGCAUACCAUUUAUUCAGACUAUAUCCACAUUAGAAGAAGAGAAAUAGCAAUUUAGUAAUAGUCAGAAUUAUUUUACCAACGCAGGCAAUCAGUUUGGAGCAUCUGCUACCACCAGAAUCCUUAGGAGAUCAAAUCAUCAUUUCUGCGAUCAAUGCAACGAUGUUUGAUCAUCUUUAACGUCUACUAUACUCUCUGCUUGCAAUUCUUUUCCAAAUUAAUUAAUUUAGCCAAAAAUCUCAGGAAAACAAUUUAGCCUGAAUGUAAUACUCUGUUUCCCCAUAAUGAAAAAGAUAAAUAGUCUAAAACAGAAAAAAUAAACACACAGCAAAACACGUGCUCUUAUACGUGGAAAGUUAAGCUAAGAAUGUUUGGGGGAAAUUGGCAGACCUUAAGUCUUGAAUUUUCUGGGACCUUCCCUCUAUUCUUCUCACUUUCAGCUAGCAUCUUCCAUGCCGUGGUAUACAGCAUGAUAGGGUUUGAACUACACAUGUUGCUCCUCUUAUUAUAAAUGCCUAAUCCUUAGCUGAAACUAUUUGUCACAAUAAUAUCCUGUAGUGAAGACUUUUACAAGAUAAUUACAUGGUGAGUAAACAAGGCAGUGUUGUCUUUUAUCUGUUCUAAAUGGGAUGUCUUCUAAUUUUAUCACCUACCUUUUGUUCAUAUAUUAUUGGGCAGGGUAAAUAAGAAUCACUGAACAGCCUUUCUAAAUCAUUUGUUAUUAUCCAUGCUACUAUUUCUAUAAACUAAUGAGCAAUAUUUAGUGCUUACGAUCUUCCCACUUUAUAAACAUCAGCUUUCAUUGUUUCUGCAUUAGGUGGAGGAAAUAUUGAGCCCAGCUUUCCCUUUGAAUGCUUACAAGGUUGCUUGUAAAAUAUUCUUCUGAUGACACAGACUGGAGAGAACUGUGUCUUUAACCUAUUGCAUUUAACCCAGGGAUGCUCACUGCUAGCUGAGGGUGGCCCAAAAUGGAGGCCACAAAUGAACCUCUUCUCUACUCUUCUUUCCUUUUAUCCUCUCCUUUCCUUUCUCCUUUCCCUUCCCUUCCCUCCCCUCCU